AGGACGAACGCUGGCGGCGUGCUUAACACAUGCAAGUCGAGCGGUAAGGCUCCUUCGGGAGUACACGAGCGGCGAACGGGUGAGUAACACGUGAGCAAUCUGCCCUUCACUUCGGGAUAACUCCGGGAAACCGGUGCUAAUACCGAAUACGACCACUUCAGGCAUCUGAUGGUGGUGGAAAGUUCCGGCGGUGAAGGAUGAGCUCGCGGCCUAUCAGCUUGUUGGUGAGGUAACGGCCCACCAAGGCAACGACGGGUAGCCGGCCUGGGAGGGUGACCGGCCACACUGGGACUGAGACACGGCCCAGACUCCUACGGGAGGCAGCAGUGGGGAAUAUUGGACAAUGGGCGAAAGCCUGAUCCAGCAACGCCGCGUGAGGGAUGACGGCCUUCGGGUUGUAAACCUCUUCAGCGGGACGAAGCGAAGUGACGGUACCGCAGAAGAAGCACCGGCCAACGUACGUGCCAGCAGCCGC
rnacentral:rRNA from 1 species